rnacentral:rRNA from 1 species
AACGAACGCUGGCGGCAGGCCUAACACAUGCAAGUCGAGCGGACCCUUCGGGGUUAGCGGCGGACGGGUGAGUAACGCGUGGGAAUAUGCCCUUCUCUACGGAAUAGUCCUGGGAAACUGGGGGUAAUACCGUAUACGCCCUUUGGGGGAAAGAUUUAUCGGGGAAGGAUUAGCCCGCGUUGGAUUAGGUAGUUGGUGGGGUAAUGGCCUACCAAGCCGACGAUCCAUAGCUGGUUUGAGAGGAUGAUCAGCCACACUGGGACUGAAACACGGCCCAGACUCCUACGGGAGGCAGCAGUGGGGAAUCUUAGACAAUGGGGGCAACCCUGAUCUAGCCAUGCCGCGUGAGUGAUGAAGGCCUUAGGGUUGUAAAGCUCUUUCAGCUGGGAAGAUAAUGACGGUACCAGCAGAAGAAGCCCCGGCUAACUCCGUG